rnacentral:rRNA from 2 species
GACGAACCGAGCGAACGUUGUUCGGAAUCACUGGGCUUAAAGGGCGCGUAGGCGGGCCGCCGCGUCCGGGGUGAAAUCCUCCCGCUCAACGGGAGAACGGCCUCGGAUACGGGCGGUCUGGAGGGGGGUAGGGGCGUGCGGAACUGUGGGUGGAGCGGUGAAAUGCGUUGAUAUCCACAGGAACUCCGGUGGCGAAGGCGGCACGCUGGACCCCACCUGACGCUGAGGCGCGAAAGCCAGGGGAGCGAACGGG